rnacentral:rRNA from 1 species
UGGGGAAUUUUGGACAAUGAGCGCAAGCCUGAUCCAGCAAUGCCGCGUGCAGGAUGAAGGCCUUCGGGUUGUAAACUGCUUUUGUACGGAACGAAACGGCUCUGGUUAAUACCUGGGGCUAAUGACGGUACCGUAAGAAUAAGCACCGGCUAACUACGUGCCAGCAGCCGCGGUAAUACAGAGGGUGCAAGCGUUAAUCGGAAUUACUGGGCGUAAAGCGUGCGCAGGCGGUUAUAUAAGACAGAUGUGAAAUCCCCGGGCUCAACCUGGGACCUGCAUUUGUGACUGUAUAGCUAGAGUACGGUAGAGGGGGAUGGAAUUCCGCGUGUAGCAGUGAAAUGCGUAGAUAUGCGGAGGAACACCGAUGGCGAAGGCAAUCCCCUGGACCUGUACUGACGAUCAUGAACGAAAGCGUGGGAAGCAAACA